CAUCGAGCAGAGGGAAAAGGAGCAAUCCGCUUUGAGAUGGCCUCGCGUCCGAUUAGCUAGUUGGUGAGGUAACGGCCCACCAAGGCGACGAUCGGUAGCCGGACUGAGAGGUUGAACGGCCACAUUGGGACUGAGACACGGCCCAGACUCCUACGGGAGGCAGCAGUGGGGAAUAUUGCACAAUGGGGGAAACCCUGAUGCAGCGACGCCGCGUGGAGGAAGAAGGUCUUCGGAUUGUAAACUCCUGUUGUUGGGGAAGAUAAUGACGGUACCCAACAAGGAAGUGACGGCUAACUACGUGCCAGCAGCCGCGGUAAAACGUAGGUCACAAGCGUUGUCCGGAAUUACUGGGUGUAAAGGGAGCGCAGGCGGGAAGACAAGUUGGAAGUGAAAUCUAUGGGCUCAACCCAUAAACUGCUUUCAAAACUGUUUUUCUUGAGUAGUGCAGAGGUAGGCGGAAUUCCCGGUGUAGCGGUGGAAUGCGUAGAUAUCGGGAGGAACACCAGUGGCGAAGGCGGCCUACUGGGCACCAACUGACGCUGAGGCUCGAAAGUGUGGGUAGCAAACAGGAUUAGAUACCCUGGUAGUCCACACCGUAAACGAUGAUUACGAGGUGUUGGAGGAUUGACCCCUUCAGUGCCGCAG
rnacentral:rRNA from 1 species